UGGUGGAGUGAUUUGUCUGGUUAAUUCCGAUAACGAACGAGACCUUAACCUGCUAAAUAGCUAGGCUGCUUCUUAAGCGGUCGUCAGCUUCUUAGAGGGACUGUUGCGCGAUUAGCCAACGGAAGUUUGAGGCAAUAACA
rnacentral:rRNA from 1 species